CCUCCCGAAUCACCCCUUUCAAUGAUCUCCAACACUUUUGGGACACCCUGUAUAAUACAAGUAACGCGACAAUUUCAGGUUUAAUUGCUUAGAUUCUUUUUCAUUCAAGUUAAUAUUCAAUAUUUAAUGAGUAUCGAAUAUUUGUAAAUAAAUAUUUACAAUAUGCAAUAAAUGUAUACAUAAUAUCUAAUAAAUUACAUAAUAUUACAUAGUAUUACAUAACAUGUAAUAAAUAUUUAUCAUGAAUGUAUAAUCGAUAUAUAUGGGACAUUCCACAAAAUUCCACCAAAUAGUACGGUUUAAAAAAUAUUUGUUUUUAUUUUCUUAAUUUUUUCCCAUGGCCGAGAGAUUCGAUGCCAACGGGAUAUUUCGUCGCCUCCUCGCAAUCCACCGUCCAAACGUUCAGUUCAUAUAUUUAGAACGCGUACUGAUUUUUUUGUACACGCCGUUUUUCAACGCUGUCUCGCGCCCACGGAUAUAUUCUGGAUGACGAGGACAACGUCGAGUGUCUUGGCACCGGAUUAUGCUGUUUAUUUUCAAAGUAAAUCGAGCUUCUUUCAAUUUUAAAUUUAGAUAUUUGAAGGAGAGAAGAGUAGUUUUCUGGAUGAAAUAAUUGGUUUUUGGUGGUUUGUAGUUGUUUGUCGUUUCAAGAUUGCCUGAGUUUGGCACUGUAUGCCAACGAUAGAGAAUCCCAAGAGUCCCAAGUCAUCGUAGAUGUUAACUGCAGUGUUUUAGUGGUGGAAAGGUGGUAUCGCAAACCUAGGUUUCAUAUUUCUCCCUGCAAUCUAUUUAUUUUGAAACUGUAUCAUCUUUCCUAUCAAUAAUUCCCAAGAAUAAGAUGUUUCCAGUUGAUUGUAUUGAAAUACUUUCAAGAUUGCUAGAGUUUGGCACUGUAUGCCAACGAUAGAGAAUCCCAAGAGUCCUAAGCCAUCCUAGAUGUUAACUGCUGUGUUUUAGUGGUGGAAAGUUGGUAUCUCGACUCCUAGGUUUCAUAUUUCUCCCUGCAAUCUAUUUACUUUGAAACUGAAUCAUCUUUCCUUUCAAAAAUGUUCAAGAAUGAGAUAUUCCAAAAAAUGUUUCCAGUUGAUUGUAUUGAAAUACUUUCAAGAUUGCCAGAGUUUGGAAGACUCGUAUUUCUGCUAAAGCAUGCUAAAGUCGUUGUAAAAAUCGCAACGGUGCAUACCAGUUCCAUGAAGUGGAUAUAGUUAUCAGAAAACUGCGGAUCUUUAUGCAAAAUAAAAUCUUUGUAAGCGCACCUACAAAAACUGAACCUAAAUAGGAAUUUAUUUUACUCUGAAAGUAUUAUAAUAUGAACUUUACUUUCAAUAUUUUUUUAUAUUAUUGGCUGCUGUGUCCAUUCUAUAAUUUCUUGCACGUUCAGAUUUUCUAUAAAUGCAUAAAAAUCCGCAGUCUAUAUAGUCAUCAGGAAUCUGGAAACUCCAAGCUUUCCAGACUGUUCGUUGCAGUCUUUUAAUAAACGAGAGACUAGUAUUACUAAUAUUUUUAGUAGUAUUUAGGUGUUUAACGGUAGCUUAUGAUAUUUAUGCUGCUUAUUUUGAAAUUAAAUCGAGUUUCUUUGAUUUUAGAUUAAUAUAUUUAAUUUAUGGUUAUUAAUUUAAGUAUAUAUAUUGAAUUUAAAACGUGGUAUUUUAAAGUUAGGCCCAGGUUUUGUAUUCCUUCGUAUAAUUUAUUUACAUUGGGACUAAAUUAAGUUUACUUCGUUUUAAUUGUAAUAUUUCAUUGUCUGCGGUUUAAUAGACUACUCAAUCUUUUUCUGUCGAUGAAAAAUUGCAUUUUGUAUCGUAGAAUUGAUAUUGUCUACAACACGGGCCCCUUGAAGAUAUAUCGCGUUCCUGAUUCCACGAUUGGCCACGUGACACGUACACAGAAUUGAUAGCGUUGCAAAGAUAGGCCCAUUAUGGUCGAACGAACUCAGCUUUACGAGCCUGUUAGCUUUAUGACACACGUUUCGCGCCGAUCAGGUGUAUCACUCGAACGUUUGCGCUUUGUUCACGUUAUUUCCUCGCAUCGUUUCGCGUUACGAUCGUCGAAAUCGACGGACUCUCAUUUUUAAAAAAUUGGGGUUUCACUUUAGAGAAAAACUUUGUAUGCGUUUUCUGUAGGUUUGCAUGAGAUGUACAAGGAAAAAAAGUUUCAAUCUGAAAUGUUCAUUAUUAAAAGAGUUGUGAAUUUUAGAAAAUUAGGAGGCACCUACUGAAUUCUUGAAAAAAUCAAUUUUCUUAUUUUUAAAAAAUUGUGUGUUCACUUUAGGGAAAAACUUUUUACAUGUUUUCUGUAGGGUUCCAUGAGAUGUACAGGGGAAAAAAGUUUCAAUUCAAAAUGUUCAUUAUUAAGAUAGGUAGAAGCUCUGAAGUGGCUAAUCCAUGUGAAUUCUUUAACGAAGGUGUACUCCCAUUUUUAAUAAUUUUGAUUUUUACUUUAGAGACAAACUUUCUAAAUAUUUUUUGUAGGGUUUUAUGAGAUCUAUAACGAAACAAAGUUUCAAACCAAAAUGUUCAUUAUUAAUCAACCCACAAAUUUUUCAA